AUAUAGAUCAAAGUGGUAUGAAUUUAACUACAAGAAAAAGGGUUAUUAGUGACCACCAUUUAGUGACAGGUCAAAAAUCUAGUCCCUAAAGGUAUACUUACAGGGACAAGAUUUUUUCCUGGUCCAUAAUAGAUUUUGAAUUAGAGAAGAGCUCGAAACUGCUCCAUAAAACAAUGAAAAACUGGUCCCAAAAGAAGGAUUAGGUGUCAUUCUAUUUUUCCCCCUAAAAAAUAAAAAAUAAAAAAACUUAAAGUUAAGAAAUAGACUAUUUAUUAAAACGCUAUCUAGAAUAUUUCGGUUUCUCAGAUCCAAAUAACCCAUCUCCCCAAAUCCCUAAGUGCUCCUAAUUUGGGGGAUCAAAGUGACAAUUUUUUCUCUAUUUCUGGUGUUACCACGGACAUUCAUUGUCGAACUUUUCGCGUUUAGAGUUCUCUUGAUUUGUUGGCCAUCUCUCUGGUCUUGUUCUCUAGUUAAUCUAUUGAAAGGCAACAGAAAUGGGGACGAAGGUCUACAAUGAUUUCAGCAUAAAUCUUAGAGAAAUAACCCUCAAAAAGCCCUAAUUUCGUCUCUCAAACACCAUAAACCUACUCCAAAAUCAAUCUCAAAGUUGUCGAGUAUUACUUAUGCAGCCGUGCUUUGUCAGUUCCUGAGUUUCUCAGCUCCUUCCGGCUAAACAUUCUCAGCUCCUUGUGGCAAAACACUCUCCUUCAUAUUCCAGGAUUUGGAGACUACAGUUUACAAGACAAUAUGCGUUAGGUUUGAAGACAUCAAACAAGCUGACGAUUUGUUUAUCAUGUUACUUGGAUUGUAAGAUCAGAAAUUAUAUUAGGAUGUUUAUUUUCCUCCAAGGGGUGGGUAUACAGUUGUGUGACUUAUAUAUCAUGGUUAUACACUGCCACUAGUCGGAUGUUAAUCCAUUAUUUGUAACUAAUUACAGACCAUAUUUAU